rnacentral:rRNA from 1 species
UACGAAGGGUGCAAGCGUUGUUCGGAAUUACUGGGCGUAAAGGGCGCGUAGGCUGGUUUGUAAGUCUAAUGUGAAAUCCCCGGGCUUAACCUGGGACGUGCAUUGGAAACUGCAGAUCUUGAAUGCUUAAGAGGGUGGUGGAAUUCCAGGAGUAGAAGUGAAAUUCGUAGAUAUCUGGAGGAAUACCGGUGGCGAAGGCGGCAUCCUGGACCGACAUUGACGCUGAGGAGCGAAAGCCAGGGGAGCAAACGGG